CCUACGGGUGGCAGCAGUCGAGAAUCAUUCACAAUGGGGGAAACCCUGAUGCAGCGACGCCGCGUGAGUGAAGAAGUAUUUCGGUAUGUAAAGCUCUAUCAGCAGGGAAGAAGAAAGACGGUACCUGCAUAAGAAGCCCCGGCUAACUACGUGCCAGCAGCCGCGGUAAUACGUAGGGGGCAAGCGUUAUCCGGAUUUAAUGGGUGUAAAGGGAGCGUAGACGGCUGGGCAAGUCUGAAGUGAAAGCCCAGGGCUCAACCCUGGGACUGCUUUGGAAACUGUGGAGCUAGAGUGCUGGAGAGGUCAGGGGAAUUCCUAGUGUAGCGGUGAAAUGCGUAGAUAUAAGGAAGAACACCAGUGGCGAAGGCGGCUGACUGGACAGUAACUGACGUUGAGGCUCGAAAGCGUGGGGAGCAAACAGGAUUAGAUACCCUUGUAGUC
rnacentral:rRNA from 1 species